GACGAACGCUGGCGGCGUGCUUAACACAUGCAAGUCGAACGGUAAGGCCCUUUCGGGGGUCCACGAGUGGCGAACGGGCGAGUAACACGUGGGUGAUCUGCCCUGCACUUUGGGAUAAGCCUGGGAAACUGGGUCUAAUACCGGAUAGGACUACGCGAUGCAUGUCGUGUGGUGGAAAGCUUUUGCGGUGUGGGAUGGGCCCGCGGCCUAUCAGCUUGUUGGUGGGGUGAUGGCCUACCAAGGCGACGACGGGUAGCCGGCCUGAGAGGGUGUCCGGCCACACUGGGACUGAGAUACGGCCCAGACUCCUACGGGAGGCAGCAGUGGGGAAUAUUGCACAAUGGGCGCAAGCCUGAUGCAGCGACGCCGCGUGGGGGAUGACGGCCUUCGGGUUGUAAACCCCUUUCAGCACAGACGAAGCGUAAGUGACGGUAUGUGCAGAAGAAGCACCGGCCAACUACGUG
rnacentral:rRNA from 1 species